ACUAACUGUAGUAUUGAUGCAACCCAUUUGCGGUGCUCUUAGCAUCGGGCUUGACAUUUACUUAACUUAUUAAAUUAUACUGUAUUAAUGAACACACACCAGUGUUAUGUACCAACGGUUUUUGGUUCUCGGGUCAGGGAUUCGGUUUCUUCUUCCUAAUUCCGACUGGGUUCCGAACCCUUGAUGUUACUGUUGUGUGAAAAUGAAGGUUGCCCUAUUUUGGGAGCAAUCUGAAGUGAUAUUGCUCUAAAGGCUUGCAAUUUUCUGAAUGAUACAAGCAGCGGUCUCCCGGUUUUAUCAUUUUAACAAAGGGCGCAGGCGCAUAUGCUGGUGGUAGGGCCUUUUAUAACUUCUUUGGUGGCAUGUUCAGCAUCACCAAUGUAUUUUGGUUGUCAAGAAAACUGCUUGGUGGCUGGCGGCUGGCCAUACUGAUGGUUUGCCAAAAGUCAAAUACUGAACAUAGUUUUGAGCUUAGCAACAGAUUGCCAUUAUCACUAGAGCAAAUGAUGGAUAUAGGACCUGAAGAAUUGUCUAGAAUGGUUUGUUUUUGUGUUCGGGCACCAUCAACAUGGUCAAUGGCAAGCUCAAAUCUGCUCUGUGCGUAUGAGCAACAAUCUUUAGUUGCGCACUUUUAGUAAGUUAACUUAUAAUCUGAUGACAACUAAAUAUAUUUGCCGUUACAAUUAUAAUUGCGUUUUGUAUAGAAGUGUAUGACCAAUAGACAAAUGUAAACGCUUUCUAAAUCUAUGAAAUAUUGACCUUUACGA